GAUGAAGAACGUAGCGAAAUGCGAUAAGUAAUGUGAAUUGCAGAAUUCAGUGAAUCAUCGAAUCUUUGAACGCACAUUGCGCCCGCCAGUAUUCUGGCGGGCAUGCCUGUCUGAGCGUCAUUUCAACCCUCAUGCCCCUAGGGCGUGGUGUUGGGGAUCGGCCAAAGCCCGCGAGGGACGGCCGGCCCCUAAAUCUAGUGGCGGACCCGUCGUGGCCUCCUCUGCGAAGUAGUGAUAUUCCGCAUCGGAGAGCGACGAGCCCCUGCCGUUAAACCCCCAACUUUCCAAGGUUGACCUCAGAUCAGGUAGGAAUACCCGCUGAACUUAAGCAUACAAUAAGCGGAGGA
rnacentral:misc_RNA from 1 species